CGCGUAGGCGGUCUUGUAAGUCAGAUGUGAAAGCCCGGGGCUCAACCCCGGAAGUGCAUUUGAAACUACAGGACUUGAGUAUGGGAGAGGGAAGUGGAAUUCCUGGUGUAGAGGUGAAAUUCGUAGGUAUCAGGAGGAACAUCGGUGGCGAAGGCGACUUCCUGGACCAAUACUGACGCUAAGGCGCGAAGGCGUGGGGAGCAAACA
rnacentral:rRNA from 1 species